rnacentral:rRNA from 1 species
CNUNNAGCUUGACGGUNCCAUCAGAGGAAGCACCGGCUAANUCCGUGCCAGCANCGCGGUANUACGGAGGGUGCAAGCGUUGUUCGGAUUCACUGGGUAUAAAGGGUGCGUAGGCGGCCUUUUAAGUCAGAGGUGAAAUAUGACGGCUCAACCGUCAAACUGCCCCNGAAACUGAAAGGCUUGAGUUCGAGAGAGGAAGGUGGAAUUCCAGGUGUAGCGGUGAAAUGCGUAAAUAUCUGGAGGAACACCAGUGGCGAAGGCGGCCUUCUGGCUCGAAACUGACGCUCAGGCACGAAAGCAUGGGGAGCGAACGGGAUUAGAUACCCCGGUAGUCCAUGCCGUAAACGAUGGAUACUAGGUGUUGGGGGAGUCUACCCCCUCAGUGCCGCAGCUAACGCAUUAAGUAUCCCACCUGGGGAGUACGAUCGCAAGGUUGAAACUCAAAGGAAUUGACGGGGGCCCGCACAAGCGGUGGAGCAUGUGGUUUAAUUCGAUGCAACGCGAGGAACCUUACCUGGGCUUGACAUGCAGGGGACAGGCGUAGAAAUACGUCCUUCUUCGGACUCCUGUACAGGUGCUGCAUGGCUGUCGUCAGCUCGUGUCGUGAAAUGUUAGGUUAAGUCCUGCAACGAGCGCAACCCCUAUCUUUAGUUGCCAUCAGGUUAUGCUGGGGACUCUAGAGAGACUGCCGGUGACAAACCGGAGGAAGGUGGGGACGACGUCAAGUCAUCAUGGCCCUUACGCCCAGGGCUACACACGUGCUACAAUGGUCGGUACAGAGGGCUGCGAAACAGUGAUGUGGAGCGAAUCCCAGAAAGCCGGCCUCAGUUCGGAUUGCAGUCUGAAACUCGACUGCAUGAAGUUGGAAUCGCUAGUAAUCGCGUAUCAGAACGACGCGGUGAAUACGUUCCCGGGCCUUGUACACACCGCCCGUCAAGUCAACCGAGUUGGUUGCACCCCAAGUCGCUGAGCUAACCCGUAAGGGAGGCAAGUGCCCAAGGUGUGAUUGGCGAGGGGGACU